rnacentral:rRNA from 1 species
AGCUCCAAUAGCGUAUAUUAAAGUUGUUGCAGUUAAAAAGCUCGUAGUUGGAUUUCUGGUGGCGCCGCCCGGUUGGCCUCGAAAGGGGUAUGUACUGGGGCGCGCGUUGCCAUCCUCGGGGGAAGGUCUCCUGGCAUUAAGUUGUCGGGGGGCUGACGCUCGUCGUUUACUGUGAACAAAUUAGAGUGUUCAAAGCAGGCUUAGGCCGUUGAAUACAUUAGCAUGGAAUAAUGAGAUAGGACUUUGGUGGUCUAUUUUGUUGGUUUGCACGCCGAAGUAAUGAUUAAUAGGGGCGGUUGGGGGUAUUCGUAUUCAAUUGUCAGAGGUGAAAUUCUUGGAUUUAUGGAAGACGAACUACUGCGAAAGCAUUUACCAAGGAUGUUUUCA